AAGCGCGGGCGGCGGCUACCAUGCAGUCGAGCGGUACAGAUCCAGCUUGCUGGAUGCUGACGAGCGGCGGACGGGUGAGUAAUGCAUAGGAAUCUGCCCGAUAGUGGGGGAUAACCUGGGGAAACCCAGGCUAAUACCGCAUACGUCCUACGGGAGAAAGGGGGCUCCGGCUCCCGCUAUGGGAUGAGCCUAUGUCGGAUUAGCUAGUUGGUGAGGUAACGGCUCACCAAGGCCACGAUCCGUAGCUGGUCUGAGAGGAUGAUCAGCCACAUCGGGACUGAGACACGGCCCGAACUCCUACGGGAGGCAGCAGUGGGGAAUAUUGGACAAUGGGGGGAACCCUGAUCCAGCCAUGCCGCGUGUGUGAAGAAGGCCCUCGGGUUGUAAAGCACUUUCAGCGAGGAAGAACGCCUAGCGGUUAAUACCCGCUAGGAAAGACAUCACUCGCAGAAGAAGCACCGGCUAACUCCGUGCCAGCAGCCGCGGUAAUACGGAGGGUGCAAGCGUUAAUCGGAAAA
rnacentral:rRNA from 1 species